UACAGAGGGUGCGAGCGUUAAUCGGAAUUACUGGGCGUAAAGCGUGCGUAGACGGUAGCGUAAGUCAGAUGUGAAAUUCCCGGGCUCAACCUGGGGGCUGCAUUUGAUACGUGUUUGCUUGAGUGGGGAAGAGGGUCGUGGAAUUCCCAGUGUAGAGGUGAAAUUCGUAGAUAUUGGGAAGAACACCGGUGGCGAAGGCGGCGACCUGGUCCUUGACUGACGCUGAGGCGCGAAAGCGUGGGGAGCAAACAGG
rnacentral:rRNA from 1 species